rnacentral:ribozyme from 13 species
AUUAAGAUCAUACACAUAACUAUUUUUUUCUUUUUUUUCAUUUUCUGGUUCUUGUUUCUCUCCUUCUCCCUUUUCUUUAUCUUCUGAAGAAGAAGAAGAAGAAGGAGUCAGAGA